CAGACAUUCUGCAGUUGUGACUGCAUGACUGAUGGCAGUAGAUGUGCUGGUUCAGAUCCCUUUUACAAGCACCAAUAAAACUCUAUGGAAAUUCUAAAUGACCUGCCUGUUUCUCCAAUGACAUUGUGAGAUCCUUGACAACUGGGGUGGUUCAUGGUUCUGGAACAGUUUGAGAAGAAAAACUGAAUUUGGAAAGUAGAAUAAAGCCCAUCCCAGAAUGACCUGUCAGUUUCCUUGAAUGCUCUGGAAUAGACCCUGUAUCUAAGAAAUGUCUUCUAUCCUGAAAGCACUGCAAUUAGCACGAGUAGGUUGGCUACAUGGACAGAAUUCAAAAUGCAGAAUAUAAAAGCUACAGAUCCAAAACUAAUCACUUAAAGACUCCUCUACACAGAAACAUUCAAAGGAAGAUUAAAGAUCAAUGUGACUGAAGUACAAAAGCUGAAUUGGGAGUAAAAAUAAUAACAGACUCAAUUUACAGAGCACUGACCAUAUACCAGGAUCCAAUCCAGAAAUUCCAGCUAAAUGACAAAGAAGAAAUGAAAGAAACUAUCACAGUUUUGUAACCCUUCAUGAAUUGAUGGAUCUUAUAAAGGGUCAUCUAAGCCACUAACCAGAAAUUGUGACUCCUGAUGAAAGAACAUACACAACCUAUAAAGUAAUCUUGCCAAAAAUAGUAAUAACAACCAUUUUUUUAAGGAACCAGAAUUUGAACAAGUCUCUAGACCUAAACACUAAUUUAGAGGAAAAUCAGAUCUGAGGAUGAUGGGAAACUCUGUGGGACAAAUGACCAACUUUUUCAACAGAAAAGAAAUACACCCUUGUUCUAUCAUAAAAACAACA